UGCGACCAGUCAGGAAAUGCUAGU
rnacentral:siRNA from 1 species